CAAAGACAGGCAUAGAAGAGCUGGCCCAGGAGGAUUGUGCCGGGAGGCAGAACUCAAGGACUGGUCCUUGGAUCAGAGAAGACCAGCUCUGGUCUGGGGAGGAAUGGAAGGAGGCUUGAGCUCAGCUCCUGCCUCCCCCACCUUGCUCGGCAUUGGGCUGGGAAGGGGGCCAGACCCAAAGGACAGAAGCAGAAAGCACACGAAACCUGGGAGCCUGUGAUGCCAGAUCCCGCGUGGGCCCUGCGGGAGUUUUGGGGAGCAGGGCUCUUAACCAGUGGGCCCUGGCCUCAGGCUGCCUCAGGAAGCCAGGCUCAUGCUGGGGGCAUGGCAAGUAGAACCCUGGCCCUGUGUGAGGUGAGGCAUGGUUGCCAGGUGACUGUGCCUGGGCAGCCACUCGCCGUCAGAAGCACUCUGCUUGCUGUGCUCACCCCUCAGCUGUGGCCACCCUGGUGCCACUCCUUCCCUGGCCGCCAUGUCACGGCAGCUCAACAUAGACACAUUACGGCAGAACUUCUGGAAGGAGGAAUAUCUGAGGGAAAAGAUGUUGCACUGUGAAUGGUACCGCAAGUAUGGGUUGAUGGUGAAGGCCAAGCAGAAGGCUAAGGCUGCAGCCCGCCUGCCCCUCAGACUGCCCACCCUGCACCCCAAAGCCCCACUCUCACCCCCAUCCGCCCCCAAGUCAGCCCCUUCCAAGGUGCCCAGCCCUGUCCCAGAGGCGCCUUUUCAGUCGGAAAUGUACCCGGUACCACCUGUCACCCGAGCCCUGCUGUAUGAAGGCAUCUCCCACGACUUCCAGGGGCGCUACCGCUACCUCAACACUCGAAAACUGGACAUGCCAGAGACGCGAUACCUCUUCCCCGUCACCACCAGCUUCACAUAUGGCUGGCAGCUGGGUGAGCCCAACCUCUUGGAAAUCACCUCAAAAACAGAGCACUAGCCAUGUGCUAGGGAGUGGGCAUCCUGGUGAAGGGUCCAGACCAUAAACAGAGCAAGGAGAUGGCCAAGAAGUGUCGACACGUUCCACAGAACUAGGGAGUGGUGGUGGGCAGGGAGGCAGCGGCCAUGUGCUGCUAUUUAUUGGAUUGUCAGGAAAGGCCUUUCUGAGGACCCGAGGCUGAGAGCCAGAUGAUAAGGAUGGGUUUGGAUUUUAUUUGUUGUGCAGGGAAGCUGAUGGAGGGUUCUAAGCAGAUUUCAAGAGUGACACUGAUGAACCUUUUAAAAAGUCACCCUGACCUGUAUGUAGGCAGUGGCUUUUUCAGGGGAAAUGGUAGAAUCUGGCACAUGAGUUGGGCAUCUGUUUUGUUACCCUGUGGUAGUGGCCUGAGGGAUCAGCAAUAGAGCUGAAAUCAAUUCAGGAUGUUUUGGGGGAAGACUCGGUGGAACUCACCCGUGGAUAGAAUGUGAGAAUAAGGGGAAGAGAGAUCAAUCACCCAGGUGUUUAGCUAAAGCUGCAGUGACAGGGAAGACUGGGAGAGGUCAGGGCUGGAGCGUGCAUGAACAGGUCCUAUUUAGCCAUGUGUGUUUGGCUAUGUUAUGCUUGAAGUGUCUAUAGGGUGGCUGUGUCUAUAAGUCUGGAUUGAAGUCAGAGCUGAAGAUGCAAAUUCAGAGGUCAUUUGAAUAUAGGUGCUUUUUUUUUUUCUUUUUCUUUUUGAAACAGUCUCACUCUGUCACCCAGGCUGGAAUGCAGUGGCACGAUCUUGGCUCACUGCAACCUCUGCCUCCCAGGUUCAAGAGAUUCUUCUGCCUCAGCCUCCCGAGUAGCUGGGACUACAGGUGUGUGUCACCACGCCCAGCUAAUUUUUGUUUUUUUAGUACAGACAGGGUUUCACCAUAUUGGCCAGGCUGGUCUCGAACUGCUGACCUCAUAAUCUGCCUGUCUCAGCCUCCCAAAGUGCUGGGAUUACAGGCAUGAGCCACCGCCCAGCCUAUAGGUGCUAUUUAAAUCCAUGAGAUCUCCUAGGGAGCUCAAGUUGCUGGAAUCUGAUAGGAGUGGGGGCAGGAGGGCUGAGCCAGAGGGGGUAGGGGAUGGCAUUGGCAGGAAGCCCGUCCAUCUCGGCUGAGUCUUUUUUCUGUGAGGUUGAGUCAAGGCCAUCAGCGGGGAGGGAGCUGAGCUGAGGCAGUGGAGUAACUAGAGAUGAAGAGGAAAGGUGUGGAACAGGCAUGUGCCAGGCAGGGCUGCUGGGUGAUGUUGCUGCACAUCCCAUUGCUGUCUGAGCUCAUGAAUGUCAGGCCCCCCAGUGAAGCAAGAACUGGUCUCCUGCAAGAUGUGCCGCAUUGAGUCAUUCUUCCGCAAGAACGGGGCCUUCGCACUGCUUGAUCCCCGAGACCUGGCCCUCUGACCGUGGGCCAGGUGUGGGCUUAGGGGAGG